CCUACGGGUGGCAGCAGUGAGGAAUAUUGGUCAAUGGACGAGAGUCUGAACCAGCCAAGUAGCGUGAAGGAUGACUGCCCUAUGGGUUGUAAACUUCUUUUAUAUGGGAAUAAAACUGGGUAUUCAUACCCUCUUGUAUGUACCAUAUGAAUAAGGAUAGGCUAACGUCGUGCCAGCAGCCGCGGUACUACGGAGGAUCCGAGCGUUAUCCGGAUUUAUUGGGCGUAAAGGGAGCGUAGGUGGAUGGUUAAGUCAGUUGUGAAAGUUUGCGGCUCAACCGUACAAUUGCAGUUGAAACUGGCAGUCUUGAGUACAGUAGAGGUGGGCAGAAUUCGUGGUGUAGCGGUGAAAUGCUUAGAUAUCACGAAGAACUCCGAUUGCGAAGGCAGCUCACUGGACUGCGACUGACACUGAUGCUCGAAAGUGUGGGUAUCAAACAGGAGUAGAUACCCGAGUAGUC
rnacentral:rRNA from 1 species